UACGUAGGCGGAAUAUUAAGUCAGUGGUGAAAUCCUGCGGCUCAACCGUAGAACUGCCAUUGAUACUGAUAUUCUUGAAUAUAGUUGAGGUAGGCGGAAUGUGUAAUGUAGCGGUGAAAUGCUUAGAUAUUACACAGAACACCGAUUGCGAAGGCAGCUUACUAAACUAUUAUUGACGCUGAUGUACGAAAGCGUGGGGAGCGAACAGGAUUAGAUACCCUGGUAGUC
rnacentral:rRNA from 1 species